rnacentral:rRNA from 1 species
GAGACAGUUCGGUCCCUAUCUGCCGUGGGCGCUGGAGAAUUGAGGGGGGGCUGCUCCUAGUACGAGAGGACCGGAGUGGACGCAUCACUGGUGUUCGGGUUGUCAUGCCAAUGGCACUGCCCGGUAGCUAAAUGCGGAAGAGAUAAGUGCUGAAAGCAUCUAAGCACGAAACUUGCCCCGAGAUGAGUUCUCCCUGAGACUUUAAGUCUCCUGAAGGAACGUUGAAGACGACGACGUUGAUAGGCCGGGUGUGUAAGCGCAGCGAUGCGUUGAGCUAACCGGUACUAAUGAACCGUGAG